rnacentral:rRNA from 1 species
GACGAACGCUGGCGGCGUGCCUAAUACAUGCAAGUUGAGCGCUGAAGGUUGGUACUUGUACCAACUGGAUGAGCAGCGAACGGGUGAGUAACGCGUGGGGAAUCUGCCUUUGAGCGGGGGACAACAUUUGGAAACGAAUGCUAAUACCGCAUAAAAACUUUAAACACAAGUUUUAAGUUUGAAAGAUGCAAUUGCAUCACUCAAAGAUGAUCCCGCGUUGUAUUAGCUAGUUGGUGAGGUAAAGGCUCACCAAGGCGAUGAUACAUAGCCGACCUGAGAGGGUGAUCGGCCACAUUGGGACUGAGACACGGCCCAAACUCCUACGGGAGGCAGCAGUAGGGAAUCUUCGGCAAUGGACGAAAGUCUGACCGAGCAACGCCGCGUGAGUGAAGAAGGGUUUCGGAUCGUAAAACUCUGUUGGUAGAGAAGAACGUUGGGGAGAGUGGAAAGCUCAUCAAGUGACGGUAACUACCCAGAAAGGGACGGCUAACUACGUG